rnacentral:lncRNA from 1 species
AUGCUUUGUGUCCAGGCAACACUAGCAUUCUCAGAACUCUCCAGAAGAUGCUGCUCCCUCAGCUCCCUCUCACCUGGCUGUUACUUCAUACUUUGGAACCCUCUUGACAUGAUUUCCUUUGCGAGGUCUUCGAAGAUCCUUAUCCCACAAAGAAUGUACAUCUCACUGGGGGGAGAAUUAUCUAGCAGCUACAGAUCCCUGAGCCAUCUGCUGAAGCAUCCAAUCUUUAUCAUCUACCACUAUCGUCUCAUUUCAGAAACAAGCUCUGUUGGACAACCCAACCUCUGUCCCAGAGUUCAGCAGCUCACAGAUUCUACGUCUUUCAAGUUACAAACCAACCCUGCAUUCACCUACAAGAUGAAACUGCUUUUGUACCAUUUUAAAGACAGGACAACUUUGGAAACAUUAAUAUAUAUCAUUUCUACAUUUUAGGCAUUUUCACAUUUUAGGUUAUUGGUUUAGAAAAAAAUAUUAGCAAAUUGGACAAUUUUGACAAAUUGAGAAUCCCGAGAGGGCUACAAGAUUGAUUGUGAGAGGCAGCCCGAGGGUCAUUUUCACAAAUGGUACUUUCUAGGAAGUCCACACAAAACAUGUAAGAAAAGUAAUUGCUCAACCUAAUUCAGUUCAAUAAGUCAGUAUAUACCAUCUUAGUUUCCUCCUAAAGGCUGGGCAGGUUUAAAUUUCCCCCCAGCACAAUACUUUUCUAAAGUCUAAUGUAAAAGUACAAUAAAGGUGAAAGGACCCUGCCCUUACUCA